rnacentral:misc_RNA from 1 species
UUGGUUUGUUACCGGUGGUUGGCUCUUUUGCUUGUGCAACGACUUCCGCCUGACAUCCCUGUUUUGUUUGCCUGGUAUUGGCUUUAACUGCCUGAACAAAUUGUGGGUUUCCUGUGUUGCGUACCUAACAUGUGGUAUUUGAUCUGGCCUAUCUAAGUUCUAUUCGUCUUUUGUCAUGCUUUUGACACCGGAUGAACCCCAAACCUGUCUCUUUGAACCACAUCGUUAAUGCUUGUGUUGAUGUAGUGGCGCAUUGAGCCUUGCUUGGUCUCUUUGAUGUAGUGCCUUGUGUGGGCAUGGGUCUCAUGGGAUCCUUGUUAUGUCCUCGUCUAGUGUUUACGCUUCCUAAAAUGACUGCUCGACA